rnacentral:rRNA from 1 species
AUGGCGGGGAAGCUCUACCAGCUCAUGGCCAGGCUGCACCUGGCCAAGGGACGGGCGUCGGCGGACGUGCCCAAGGGCCACUUCGCGGUCUACGUCGGCAAGCAGCGGAAGCGGUUCGUCAUCCCGACGGCGUACCUGAGGCACCCGUCCUUCCUCGUGCUGCUCAAGCGGGUGGAGGACGAGUUCGGCUUCGACCACCGCGCCGGCGGCGGCCUCACCAUCCCCUGCUCAGAGGGCUACUUCGCCGACAUCGUCGGCGGCUGCUCAUCCUCCUCCCCACCAGUGGACUACCACUAG